AGUAACAUCAAUUUGCAUUCUACAAUUAAACAUAUUUUGUAAACUCAACAAAGAAUUCUGAACAGAUCUUCAAAUGGAAUUUUUAAGACUAUCCAAGCUUUUCUCUGUUAGUUAACAAGGCUGUAAGAACUGUCAAUAUCUGCCCAGGUGAGCUGCACGGCCCUGGCUGGAACACAUUCCCACUGGCUGCCAUCUGCCUCAUUAAGUACUUUCAUUCAUAAGAACCAGAUGCUGGAUGUGAAGUUGCAAUGCCAAAUAUACAGUUAUUUUCUUAAGGCAGCUGAAAACCAGGAAUGGAAAUUAUAUUACCUUUAAUGUCAUAUCAUCGGAGCAAGAUGCUAGUAGCAUGCCGGAUGGGUCCCAUUUGAUUGCAUUAACCUCGUUCUGAAAUGAAGAGUGAGUUUAAGCAGUGAGUCACUCCUGAAGGACCUGUUUUCCGGGAAGCAAUGCUAUAUAACACCUCUGGUGCUAGAACGCACUCUGCAAACACCAUCUGCCAUCAUCGCACCGUGCUGCGGUGACUUACCACUAACAUUUUGGACAUCUUAAACUUACUGUGUGUCCUUGAAAGGUUUUAACGGGACGAUCACAGCCAAGUCUGCAUACAUGAAUGCACAUGUCAGUGCUGCAGG